AUUGAACGCUGGCGGCAUGCCUUACACAUGCAAGUCGAACGGUAACAGGUCUUCGGAUGCUGACGAGUAGCGAACGGGUGAGUAAUACAUCGGAACGUGCCUAGUAGUGGGGGAUAACUACUCGAAAGAGUGGCUAAUACCGCAUGAGAUCUACGGAUGAAAGCAGGGGAUCGCAAGACCUUGUGCUACCAGAGCGGCCGAUGGCAGAUUAGGUAGUUGGUGGGAUAAAAGCUUACCAAGCCGACGAUCUGUAGCUGGUCUGAGAGGACGAUGAGCGACAGGGGGACGGAGACACGGACCAGACUGCUACGGUAGGCAGCAGGGGGGAAUUUUGGACAAUGGGCGCAAGCCUGAGCCAGCAAUGCCGCGUGCAGGAUGAAGGCCUUCAGGGUGUAAACUGCUUUUGUACGGAACGAAAAGCCCCGGGUUAAUACCUGUGGUGGAUGACGGUACCGGAAGAAUAAGGACCGGCUAACUACGUGCCAGCCGCCGCGGUAA
rnacentral:rRNA from 1 species